GUGUGAAGAAGAGGCAAGAACGACCCCCGGACUGACCAAAGCCUGCACGCCGCUCCAUCCCCACGUCCAACUCCUUAGUUCCGCUGCCAUCACCACCAUGCCCAAGAGAAAGGCUGAAGGGGAUGCUAAAGGAGAUAAAGCCAAGGUGAAGGACGAACCCCAGAGAAGACCUGCAAGAUUGUCGGCUAAACCUGCUCCUCUAAAGCCAGAGCCCAAGCCUAAGAAGGUCCCAGCUAAGAAGGGAGAGAAGGUACCCAAAGGGAAAAAGAGAAAAGCCGAUGCUGGCAAGGAGGGGAAUAACCCUGCAGAACAUGGAAAUGCCCAAACAGACCAGGCACAGAAAGCUGAAGGUGCUGGAGAUGCCAAGUGAAGUGUGUGCAUUUUUGAUAACUGUGUACUUCUGGUGACUGUACAGUUUGAAAUACUAUUUUUUAAAUCAAGUUUUAUAAAAACGCAGAAUUUUGUUUUUGCUUUUUUCAAGCUAUGUUGUUAACACACAGAACACUUCAUUGUUGUUUUUGGGGAAAGGGGCAUAUGUCACUAAUAGAAUGUCUCCAAAGCUGAAUUGAUGUGGGGAAAACACCUUUCCCUUCUAGUUUUAAGAGACUUCCUCUUGGCUUCCAGGAGGAGGGAUUCCCCGACGUUGACACACAUAGCCACCUUGGUACAAACGCCUGUGGUGUGGAAAAACAUUCAUUUUUUAUGCCCUCUUCUCCCUUUCUGCCUUCAGCAUAGACUUAACCCAGACAUCUGUUGGGACC